GAUGAAGAACGCAGCGAAAUGCGAUAAGUAAUGUGAAUUGCAGAAUUCAGUGAAUCAUCGAAUCUUUGAACGCACAUUGCGCCCGCUAGUAUUCUGGCGGGCAUCCCUGUCCGAGCGCCAUUUCAACCCUCAAGCCCCCGGGCUUGGUGUUGGGGAUCGGCGAGCCUCCGCGCCCGCCGUCCCCUAAAUCUAGUGGCGGUCUCGCUGUAGCUUCCUCUGCGUAGUAGCACACCUCGCACUGGGAAACAGCGCGGCCACGCCGUUAAACCCCCAACUUCUGAACGUUUGACCUCGGAUCAGGUAGGAAUACCCGCUGAACUUAAGCAUAUCAAUAAGCGGAGGA
rnacentral:misc_RNA from 1 species